AACGGCCGUACCAUGCUGAAUAUACCGGUUCUCGUUAGAUCACCGAAGUCAAGCAUCAUUGGGCGCGGUCAGUACUUGGGUGGGUGGGUGACCACCUGGGAACACUGCGUGCCGUU
rnacentral:rRNA from 1 species